rnacentral:rRNA from 1 species
GAGUUUGAUCGUGGCUCAGGAUGAACGCUGGCGGCGUGCCUAAUACAUGCAAGUAGAACGCUGAAGCUUGGUGCUUGCACCGAGCGGAUGAGUUGCGAACGGGUGAGUAACGCGUAGGUAACCUGCCUGGUAGCGGGGGAUAACUAUUGGAAACGAUAGCUAAUACCGCAUAACAGUAGAUAUUGCAUGAUAUCUGCUUGAAAGGUGCAAUUGCAUCACUACCAGAUGGACCUGCGUUGUAUUAGCUAGUUGGUGAGGUAACGGCUCACCAAGGCGACGAUACAUAGCCGACCUGAGAGGGUGAUCGGCCACACUGGGACUGAGACACGGCCCAGACUCCUACGGGAGGCAGCAGUAGGGAAUCUUCGGCAAUGGGGGAACCCUGACCGAGCAACGCCGCGUGAGUGAAGAAGGUUUUCGGAUCGUAAAGCUCUGUUGUAAGAGAAGAACGAGUGUGAGAGUGGAAAGUUCACACUGUGACGGUAUCUUACCAGAAA